rnacentral:rRNA from 1 species
CCUACGGGAGGCUGCAGUGGGGAAUAUUGGACAAUGGGCGAAAGCCUGAUCCAGCCAUGCCGCGUGUGUGAAGAAGGUCUUCGGAUUGUAAAGCACUUUAAGUUGGGAGGAAGGGUUGUAGAUUAAUACUCUGCAAUUUUGACGUUACCGACAGAAUAAGCACCGGCUAACUCUGUGCCAGCAGCCGCGGUAAUACAGAGGGUGCAAGCGUUAAUCGGAAUUACUGGGCGUAAAGCGCGCGUAGGUGGUUUGUUUAGUUGGAUGGGGAAUCCCCGGGCUCCACCUGGGAACUGCAAUUAAAACUGACGAGCUAGAGUAUGGUAGGGGGUGGUGGAAUUUCCUGUGUAGCGGUGAAAUGCGUAGAUAUAGGAAGGGACACCAGUGGCGAAGGCGACCACCUGGACUAAUACUGACACUGAGGUGCGAAAGCGUGGGGAGCAAACAGGAUUAGAUACCCGUGUAGUC